AACGAGCGCUGGCGGCAGGCUUAACACAUGCAAGUCGAACGGUUGUAGCAAUACAGCAGUGGCGCACGGGUGAGUAACACGUGGGAAUAUCCCUUUCAGUACGGAAUAACGUCGGGAAACUGACGCUAAUACCGUAUACACCUCCGGGUGAAAGAUUUAUCGCUGAAAGAUUAGCCCGCGUCAGAUUAGCUAGUUGGUGGGGUAACGGCCUACCAAGGCUCCGAUCUGUAGCUGGUCUUAGAGGACGAUCAGCCAAACUGGAACUGAGACAUGGUCAAGACUCCUACGGGAGGCAGCAGUGGGGAAUAUUGGACAAUGGGGAAAACCCUGAUCCAGCCAUGCCGGGUGAGUGAUGAAGGCCUUCGGGUUGUAAAGCUCUUUUGUCAGGGAAGAUGAUGACUGUACCUGAAGAAUAAGCCCCGGCUAACUUCGUGCCAGCCGCCGCAGUAACAC
rnacentral:rRNA from 1 species